rnacentral:lncRNA from 1 species
UGCACCUGCAUUUGCAGGACAGGCAGCCACAUUGAAUACAACUUAAAACCAAACAACUUGUAAACCGCUUCUAUAGCUGUAAUCAUUCUUACAUCACGGUACUACUUGAUCUCAUUUAUUACCCUGUGCUCAUUUCCUUUUGCAUCAACAAAGAAUGAAGUUCGAUCAUGGCCUUUAUAUAUGCAUUUGUAAAGAUAUUUAACUGACUUGAUGCUACUGCAAAUCUUAACAUUGAUAUGGCAGUUAUACCUCAU